rnacentral:rRNA from 1 species
UACGUAGGGCGCAAGCGUUGUCCGGAAUUAUUGGGCGUAAAGAGCUCGUAGGCGGCCUGUUGCGUCCGCUGUGAAAUCCCGGGGCUCAACCCCGGGCGUGCAGUGGAUACGGGCUGGCUGGAGGCAGGCAGGGGAGAACGGAAUUCCUGGUGUAGCGGUGAAAUGCGCAGAUAUCGGGAGGAACACCGGUGGCGAAGGCGGUUCUCUGGGCCUUACCUGACGCUGAGGAGCGAAAGCGUGGGGAGCGAACAGG